AAAAAAUGUCCCAUGAAGGACAAGACUCAGAACAGCUCUAGUGUGGUGUCACAGAGACCCCACCUGUGCUACAGGUGGCAGCCCCACAAAGUGCAAUGAAGGGGUACAGAGGGGACCCUGCCAUAUGUGGCUCCCUCUCUCCUGCCAGGACUGUAGGACAUUUUCAAUAAUGUCAACCACCCAUCCUUCCUCUUGAGAUGAGUGAAGUGUAGGCAGGAGGAGCUCCUUGUGCUUGCCCAAGAAAUACAAUAAGAAAUCUUAAAAAGGAUAAAAUCAUAGAACCAGUUGAAGUAGAAUUAAACAAUUAAGGGAUGUUUAUGGCUGAAAUAUACCAAGAAGUUUUUGCUUAUUUUCUUUUGUUUCUUUGUGUUUCAACUGUUUUUGGACAACCACUCACUAAUAUAGAAUGUCCUCUAGAGCUGAGCCAAGAUUAUCAAUUUGAGACUCCUGGCAAUUUCCAAACUCUGAUAUGGCUCAUUGCAAAGUGAAGGCAGGCCUGGGAUUUCAAUCCUUCCACAUAUCUAACCCCACCUGGGAAUCCUUGGCUCCAAGAUUUUCCCAGUUGUCACAGUAUGUUGUUUGCUUUUCUCCCUUGGUUAUUGUGAUUGAGUUUACAGGGAAACAACUGUCUGCCAGACCAUCACCUCACCCACCAGACACAGGAUUCGCCAACUUUUAUCAUUGGGACUCAGAUUUCAUAUAAUUCAGAGAAUCACUGGAUUCCAGGAUUAGUCAGAAGGACCCCCAUCCCCACUCUCAGCCAACUCAGACAACAGAAUUCCCAACACAACAGUCAGACCAGCCAAGAAUCCAACCUAAUGUUCAAGUAGCACCGAUGAUAGGGAUCCUAACUGAAGGCUUGACUAUGAAAUACUGUGGCCUAGAAAUGGCUACAGCUUUGUAAAACCUAAAGAAAAUCAUGGCAAAUCCCUUAAGGGACAAGGACAAUGUACUAAGCUAACUUUUGAAGCAAUCCAAUGCUGUAUGAGUGUAACAGACAUGCUCAGUAGGAAAAAGUCAUAUAGACAGAUGCAAAGAUGUAUAUAUAGAGAAAUAGAUGAUAGGUAGGUAAGGUAGAUAGAUGAUAGAUGAUGAUUGAUAGGUAGAUAGAUGAUAGAUAGAUAGAUAGAGAGAGAUAGAGAUAUUUGAGUCUUAACUAUGAAAGCCUAGCCAGAGAAAUCAGGACAGAUAACACGGUGGGGAUUAGAAUCACAAGGAAACACUAUUCCCAUACAAGGGAAAUUUCCCUCAUUUUAAUUCUUGAAUUACUUAACUCUCACGUUUCUCAUUCCCUUGACAUGCUCCGUGAGCACUUUGCUGUGAACAUGAUCUUCACAUGGCUGUGGGCAAGCUUUCUGUCACCACUUUUAAGGAGAGGGAUUGCAGUUCGCUUCUAGAGUCUUAAUAGAAGCAAGUUUAAAAUAAAUUCAUAGCCAUAAAGAAAUAAAAAUGCACACAAGUCAAGCUUAACAAGCACUUUGUAGAAAGGAAGUUAUUUUAUGAAGAACGUUUGGAACUUGUGAAGGCUUUGAAGGACCUCUGAGCCACUUCCAUUGUCUUCCUGAAUGCUUUUCAUCCUGUUCUUUUGCACUUGGCAUAAACCUCCUACUUCUUGAUUUAAUUUACAUUUUUAACUUUUGACACUUGCCUCGCAAAUGUGGAGGAACUUUUGAAGAAGAAACCAAAACAGCUGUACAAACGUAAGAUAUCAGAAAAUCAAAUGUUUUUUGAUAAAUAUUGAUUUAAAUGAGGGGAAAGGUGGUAAGGACUGGAAAAGCAGCAACUGAUGUAUUUAUAGGAAUUAAAUCCGCCCUUAUCGGUACAAAUGCUUCCGCAUUCUGUAAAUAGCAGCCCAGAGUGACAACCCUGUGAAAGUCAUGCUCUGUCACAUGUUCACGGGUGGACUUUGCGAUUUUCAUUCUAUUCCUCUCAAGCCCUUUCGGAGAAUAUCUCUGAACUCCUAACAGUGUUUGGUGUUUAACGGUCCACUCCUUUAAGCAGCUGGAAGUUUCUUGAAUGAAACACAGGAGGCUUUCACUUCUGGAACUCUAAGAUCUGGUGAGAGUCCUCAAAAAAGUAUGACGCCAGUUGGUACGAAUUUCCUCCUGAGAAGUGAAAGAUAAACCACAUCAAAAAGUUACCGAAGAGCUUCCUGACUCUACUGAGAAUGGGUUACCCUAGCCACAGCCGGGGUGAGAGCACAACCCCACCGUCUGUUUUUCCAGCGGGGCAGGGCACAUUCAGACCUACUGCAGGCAGAAGCACAGGCCGGGCAUAAUCCUGUCCCACAUAGACGCUAUGAACUCAGCCAGUUAAAAAACGUUCAAUGUUUAACAUGAAUUAUUAUUCUCCUAAAGAAUUUUUCUUUGAGAGGGUCUCUGUCCCAGAGGAAGAGAUCUGAAACGUGUCCAGAUCGAGUCCUUCUUUGACAAAAAAUGCAGACGGAGAUAGACGUAAGGGUCUCCAGCAACAGGCCUUAUCUGAACAUUUUCUGGGAUUUUCAGACAAAAUUUUAUGAAAACCAACAGACAAAAACCAGAGUCUUCCUUUGGGGUUUCUGACCCUGGGACCUCACAGAGAAGCUCCACCUGGACGGAGCAACAGUGGAUGGAGGGGUCUUCCAUGUGAACGCCAGCUUUCUCUCUGCUUCUACUGAAUUCAUCGGCUGUUUUGCAAGCAAAAUCACAAACUCAUACAGCAAUAAGUUCUUCUAGACAUCACCUAGCCCAGUUGACCCUUGGACAACAGAGGAUUGGGACACCCAUCCCCGGCACAGUUGGAGUCCAUGGGUAACUAACUGUUGACUCACCAAAACCUAACUGCUAAUAGCCUACAGUUGACCUGUACUGUAUCAAAAAAAUCCACGUACAAGAGCAUCUGUGUAUUUCAAACCUGUGUUGUUCAAAGAUCAAGAGUACACACGCGGAGGAGUGUGCGGUGUGGGGCACAUACAGGCAAGCAGAGAGCCCAGGCACGUGAGAAGAAGGAACACACCCACUUCUGGAUACUGAAUGGAGAAACAAGAGACGGGUCUGGGAAGUGAUACAAAUGAAUCAUCCACUCCAUUUUGGGUUGCUGGUCACUUUCUGGAGAGCGUAAGAAUCCUCCCCCAAGUAGCUCUGUCCCCAAAGCACUGACAUCAGCAAACACCAGCAGUCACCACAGUGGACAAAUGGCUGGCCUGGUUGAAGCAGUGAGAGUGACAAAUGACCCUGAAGUCGCUACAUUCCUUCUCAUCAAAAUGGCAGAGAAGGAGCUCUACAUGUGCAGUUCGCUCCCAAAAGAGGAGAAAUGAUCUGUCUAGAAGGGGAGCCCAUCCACACCCAACAACAGGCUUGGGUUCACCAACAUGGCCAGCCCUUCUAAGCUCUGCCGACCAAGCUUCCUCAGGACACAAGAUCAACUCAGAACCCCGAUAUCUUCAUCACUUGUUCCUGCCCUCUGGGUCAAGGUGUUUUAGAAACACAGAACCAUGGGCUUUUGGAGCCACUCAGGACUUUGGAGCUCACCCCAUUCUGUUCAUCGGAGAAAGGAGGAAACUAAGCAAACUUUUCCUCAAAAAAUCCCUGAGGCAUUUUUCCCUCUGGUUUUAUAAGCAAUGGAAGAGGACCAGCUAGAAGUGCCUACACUCAGAGCCCAAAGCCCACCUUCCUUUCUGGCACCCUCCUCCCUCUCCAAAGUAGUACUACACAACUGAUAUGUAGAAGGAACAGCUUUGACCCUUUUCCAUGGGUCCAUAGAAGGAAUGUGACAUAAAAGCAUGGGUGCCUUGGCCAAGAAGAUGUAGGCAGACAUCUACUCUGGAAUUCUGGGAAAAUUUUACCCUCCUAAAAUAAGCCCCGCCUGUCCAUUGUGACAUCAUCCUUAUUGCAUCAAAAUCAGAUGCGAGGUUGCAGGUGGGCAGCCAUCUCAGGACCAAUCAGAUGAAACCAGCUUCGAAGGUGGCAGAGCAGGAGCUAGAAGGGGUCUGGGUCCAGGACUACUCCUGUCCACACUGCUCCUUAUGCAAGACACACACUCUGGGGGAGACAGGCUGACCAAGACAUCUGGUUCCUUUUCCCUGAAGGUAUUUGCUCAAGCCAAGGAAUGAAGCACCUGUGAGUGAGGAGCAGAUGAAAGCUGGAAACAUAAAAACUUGAGAGAACCUUUUUUUCAUUUUCAAGGGGAUUAUCGAGGGAGGAAUGUACUUUGGCUCCCUGUAAGCCCAUCCAAUAUCUGAUCUCCCACCUUGGCCACUGCUGCAGUUCUACAGGAUGUCAUCCAGAGUUCCAACUGCCUAAAGGAAGAAAGAAUCCCAUCUGGAUUACCAGGGGCCCGUGUUUGGAGGGACCAGUGGGCACUAUCUGGGUAAUCUCCAUACUCAGAAGGAAACAAAUGUUUCUUCCAGGUUAUUUACCAGGCUCUUCAACCAACGACUCACACACACACACAUCACCCCUUGCUUUAGAAGCCAGUGGGUGUCGAGCAGAAGAAACAAAACCAGAGAGAAACAAAAAAAUAAAUAAAAAAUAAAAAAGGACAGAAAUAGGAGUGAACGAUCUGAGACAAAUGAAGCUGAGGAGUGUACUUAUUCAAAAACAUCAACCUAUUUUUUUUUUAAGUGUCUACCAACCGAAGAUUUCUCAGGACAUCGUUUCAUUCCAUAUUAAGGUGGACCAGAAUUUAUUCUCCACCUCUCAGGACCCAGCUUGUAUUUCCAACAGCACCAGCCGUGAUGCUGCCGCACGUCUUCCUGACCUGAACUGGCCAUGCUCUUGCCAGAGAAAGAAAUGGAGUCGUUUUACCCAUGAUCUCUGAAGUUAUGUACACCAGCAUCACAGGCUAUAGAAAUAACAUUGCGACGAACUCAAAUGGUAAUUUACGGAGCACGGACAGUGAGUGGAGCGUGUUUUCUGUCCUAAAAAUCCCAGUCUAGGGCAGACUUAUGAAUAAUUUUAAAAAAUCAGGAAGUCUGUGAAAAUCCCCCCACUGUCUUAUAAAGACUGCAGGGUGCUCAUCAAAUCUCCUAAGACCUCUGGGUCCCUCCCCCUCUGAGGAGGUCCCUGGACCUGACUCCUAAUGGCCAAAGCCAAGGAACGCAGGCACCUGCCUCCAGCAAAUCCACUCCGAUUCCCUCUCAUUCCCAGACACAAAUUUCCAUGAAAACCAGACACAGGACAGAAAGCAGAGCAGGAUAUUCCAAAAUCGCUUCAGAUCUGCAGCCUGAUUUCAUUAGACUCGCCGGCUUGUUUCUUUUAGCCCUUGUGUGUGCCCACGGCAGGUGAAAUUUCGCUGGCGCUGCCGUCUAUCUACAACAUCCAUGCCGUCCAUACACUUACGGAGACCAGGCUCUUGCAGGAGAGAUAGGAGGACUGUGAUGCCGAGGGGGACACGUGUCUGUCCAGAGGUCAACAGGAGGAGGGAGGCACUAGGCGAUGCUCAGAAUCCUUGACGAGGUGGCUCUACGGGGUGCCACUUGUCAUGUCGCUGAACCCACCCCCACAGCCCUAUAGCAUAUGAAAGUUGUUCAGCCUGAAGGGAAAAACUCCAUAGUUGUCGUUAUUAAUCCAAGUCUAACUAAAUACAGCCGCUUCCAAGAGCACAUGUUGGCCAUUUCACACCACAGACACCCAACCUGAGAAGCCUGUGGGGAACCCACUGGGGGUGGGGCCCUUCUCUCACCUUCUUCCUGCCGACAGCAGCACCCACCGGCUGACAAUCCCACAUUCGACACUUUGUCACCAAGGUCUUCCCGGAUGAAGUGGCAAGGACCCAGCGCAGGAGCGACUGGACAUCAACCCUGCCUUGGGAGCCACCCGGCCAGCCUAAAGCUCUGCUUGCCAGCGAUGACACGGAUUUUCCUCCAAGAUCUUAAGCACAUGUGGCUUACAUCAAUGUGGUCUCGUAUCCACUCUCUGUUGAGACCACUUGCCUCGCACAUUCUCAUAUUUACACAUGUUCACUGAACGUAACCCCAAGUGAAUUAUUUAAGAAGCCUUAAUGUGCUUCAGACUUCGCAAAUAUAAUUUAGACCUUAAAUUAAAUUUGUACUCCCCUGGGAAACCGGUAGGUUGAACGCGGCCUACGGCAUCCAGUGGACGGCAGUAGCCCCAGAAGGGAAUUUCAGUUUACCUCCGGGAGGAUCUCACCUGGUGGCCCACGCUCCGUGUUGAACGGAACGGGAUUCGACUGCAAAAUGGGAUUUGUUGCCCACAUCUGAAAGCAGCGGAGCCGACCGGAGCGCGAGAUAAGUAUUCUUGCUUUUUUGUUUGUCCCCCGAUGGCCUUUACAACGGAGCAUCCCAGCAACCAGAGAUGUGCUACUAGUACAGACGAGAACACACAGCCCCGUUUGUCAGUUUUGAGGCUUGGGGGUUUUUAAAUAUAAAUCCCAAUAUUCUCUUUCCCCUGUGUUCGGUUGCCAAUAACUGAACAAAUGAGGUGUUAAAUUUGACACAGUGAUUAGAUUUGAGAAAAGCCACAUGCAUCCAUUCCACUUAACGCAGUUUUGUUUUGUCUUCUGUUUCUUUACAGUAAGCAUUGCCCACUGGGAAAAAUACAGCAGAAUAGGGACAGUGAAAUUCCCUUAUCAUGCACUAGUGAUAAUGAAAGCAAACCAUUUACAAGGAAGCACAGACUAGGAGUUUGCUGCUGCAGACCAGGCACUAGAACUGAAAACAAAGUUUCUUAUUCAGGGAAAUGCGAAUGAGGAAGAUCUACAGUGGGGGUCUUUUACUUUGCAUAAAAAUUAAAUUAAAUCUGAACUCUAAAGCACGCAUAAGGUAAAGAGCUAAGUUAUUCAAAGACUCAUCACACACAGCACAUUGAUAAUAACAAGUAGCAUAUGAACCACACGACUGACUUCAUAAGACUUUGCCAUGAGCUGGUGCGUUACUUAAGAGGGAGAGGCCUGUGUUAGAGGAACCUGCCAUUACCAAAUUGUGUGAAUACGUGCUCUUGAAAGUUAAUCCUGCAACAAUCCAUCUCACUGAUGUUCUUUCCAGCACCUCAAGAAUGCUAUCCUUCAAAAUGAUAAAGUGCAUUAUUCUCAAGAAACUGUCCACCGGCAAAACAAGAAAUUUGUCAUCAUGCUGGAAUUAUCUUUAAAUAAGGGAAUAUUCAAGUAAGAAUUUUUUUACUCAUGAAGUUGUCAGAGCAUGAUUCCAAUAAAAGCAGCACUACUCGUUCGUUA